CGCGUAAGGGUGACGCCAUCCGGGUCUGCGUUCAGCCCAGGCGCGUAAGGGUGACGCCAUCCGGGUCUCCGUUCAGCCCAGGCAUGCAGGCGCGAAGCCAUGCGGACAAAUAGAACGUUGCAGGCAGAAGGACGGAGUGCGCAGAGAGACAGGGUCUCGAAACUGAAACGGCAACGUGAGCAGUAUGUCUCCUGCUCACCUUCUUCCCGCCAUCCCCUAGGCUGCUUUGGAUGAGCCACAUGUGCCCACCCUCUCCCCACCAUCCCCCAGACUGCUUCCGAUGAGCCACGUGUGCACACAGGGCCUGGCAUUUGAGGGCAGAGAUGUUGCAUAGUGAGGUGCUUGCUCUGGAGGCCUCUUGUGUGAAGAGACAUGAGACUGUUGAUGGGCUGAAUGUCCUCAUCCCUAGACAAUGACAGUGAACGGAGUUUUUAUUAAGGUCACAGUAUAUUUUGAUAUUUGAGCACCUAUGAUGUGCAAGUCACCAGAGCCACACUCUAGUAAGUGAUAGAGUGAGGAUGUAAAGAUACAGAUGUGGUUUAAAGACUCUUCUCAACCUCUGAGCUCAGCUACCUCUCAGGUCCCAUUAUUCUAGAAAGCAGAAAUGUGAGAUUUUACUCCUCUUCAUUUUAAGAAGAAAAAAAGGAAGUCUGUUAAAGUAAGGGGAGAAAAGACCCUGAUACAACUUCCACCAAAUAUAAAACAGACAUAGCCCUAAAUUGUGGUAUAAAUCGGGUAUCUAUUUUGAGUUCAAGUUCUCCUUUAGCAUACUUUUAAAUUCAGGGUGUUACAGUUUAUUGAAUUUAACAUUAAAAUGGACUCACGUGGGAAAUGGAGUCAAUAUUUUAUACAUUGAAUUUUGCGUUACGUUUCAAAAGUGAAUGUAAAUAUACAGGUGUAAAACCAGCUGGAUGGCACACAGGCACUCCGCUGCGAGUGCACGGCCCACCCUGCCCGAAUGCAGAGAAACACUAGAAGCUCUUGAGCCAGCAGAGAGAAAACCCAGAGAGUCUGAGUGGAAUCUGUUAGCCGUGCAAAUGUUACACAAUGCACAUUUGCUAUGACACAAAUCUAAGACUAAAGGGGGAAAACGGCAGAAAUUUUAGAAGACUCAUGGGCUCUCCUGAAUAAAAAUCCUGCUGAACUAGUGACCGGCUGAGCGUGGAUUGUCGGGUGAGCCGCCCUCUGGGUCCUGAAGGGCCCUUGGUGUCUCUUUACAGAGAAGCAACCCCGACAUUGGUGGAGGCAAGCGCUCGUGGCAGAUGAACCUGCAGAUGAGGCUGGGCACUGCCCAGCUUAUGAGGACAAAUGGCUCUUUUUAUAUUCCAGCAACCACGGAACUCUCUGGAGUGCCCAGGGCUGUUUUAGGACAUCCUAAACUGCUACUUUCAUGCCAAGUUUGGAGGACUGUCUUCUGAAAUAUCUUUUAUAAAAACAAAUUUAAUGCAAAAGCACGUAAGUCUACAUGAAACCCUCCCAGCACGGGUUUUCCAGCCAAAUGGUAGGGGCAUACAUAGAAAAAUGAAACAUUUGUGGUUGUGUUUUCAAGGCAGAAAAGAUGCUGAAGGGAAAAGUCUAUGUUCGAAACAUAAUCCCAGAAUAAAAAGCUCCAAGAAAUGCAGUUUUGAGGAAGUAUUAUCUAAACAAAGAGAUGUAUUAAUAUAAUUGAUGUGCAAUAUUUAUUCAGUGUUAAUCUUUUCAUUAAAAUGCAUCCUGAGUUUUCAUAAAUUCUGGCAGAUUUAAUUAUGUAUAUACUGCUUAUCGUUGUAUUUUAAAAUUGCAUAAAAUUACGUUACUUAUGUCUGUGCUUCUUAAAUAAUAGAAAUGUCUUCACGCCCCUA